GAUAGGUGAUAUCUAUCGUAGAUAAGAAGUAUGUAGAAAUAAUAUUUUGCGAUGUCUCGAGUUGAUAGACGAUGGGCUUGAAUACUUUAACUAUUUUGUAUGGUCCUUCUUAGUUGGUUUCGAGCUUGCAAGCUUUUCAUUCUUUAGUAUUUUUGAAUACUUUUCUUAGGACAAGAUGGCCGAGCGCCAAACGCCUUUCUCUAACUUUUCUAUUAUAGCAUCCUUCAGCGAGGUGCUAUCAAUUUUUGAUUAGGAGGAGUGACUAGUCUCGGCGUUCCUCGAUUUCUUCUAGUGCAUCAAGCAUCAUUUCCUUGUUAAGUUCUGCGUGUUGAGGCAUCUUUGAUGGGCGAAGACUGGUGACAUUGACUUCUUCUGGUACCAUAGCUUCCACGCCAUAAGCUAAGGAGAAUGGCGUAUUGUUAGUUGCCCCCUCAGAGUUGUCCUAUGUGACCAUAUGACACCAUCCAGCUCAUCGGCCUAGUGGCCUUUCUUGAGAUCAAAGCGUUUUUUGAUGACGUCGAUGAGGAUAUUAUUAGUUGCAUCAGCUUGCCUGUACUUGCUGUGAGUAUAAUCUAUUGACUAAGUCUGGUGCUUCAGCUGUCACAUGUAAACUCAGAUCGAGUG
rnacentral:lncRNA from 1 species